rnacentral:tRNA from 3 species
GGACAGGUGUCCGAGUGGCUGAAGGAGCCGGUCUCGAAAACCGGUGUACCGGCAACGGUACCGUGGGUUCGAAUCCCACCCUGUCCG